GAUGAACGCUGGCGGCGUGCCUAAUACAUGCAAGUCGAGCGAACGGACGAGAAGCUUGCUUCUCUGAUGUUAGCGGCGGACGGGUGAGUAACACGUGGAUAACCUACCUAUAAGACUGGGAUAACUUCGGGAAACCGGAGCUAAUACCGGAUAAUAUUUUGAACCGCAUGGUUCAAAAGUGAAAGACGGUCUUGCUGUCACUUAUAGAUGGAUCCGCGCUGCAUUAGCUAGUUGGUAAGGUAACGGCUUACCAAGGCAACGAUGCAUAGCCGACCUGAGAGGGUGAUCGGCCACACUGGAACUGAGACACGGUCCAGACUCCUACGGGAGGCAGCAGUAGGGAAUCUUCCGCAAUGGGCGAAAGCCUGACGGAGCAACGCCGCGUGAGUGAUGAGGGUCUUCGGAUCGUAAAACUCUGUUAUUAGGGAAGAACAUAUGUGUAAGUAACUGUGCACAUCUUGACGGUACCUAAUCAGAAAGCCACGGCUAACUACGUGCCAGCAGCCGCGGUAAUACGUAGGUGGCAAGCGUUAUCCGGAAUUAUUGGGCGUAAAGCGCGCGUAGGCGGUUUUUUAGGUCUGAUGUGAAAGCCCACGGCUCAACCGUGGAGGGUCAUUGGAAACUGGAAAACUUGAGUGCAGAAGAGGAAAGUGGAAUUCCAUGUGUAGCGGUGAAAUGCGCAGAGAUAUGGAGGAACACCAGUGGCGAAGGCGACUUUCUGGUCUGUAACUGACGCUGAUGUGCGAAAGCGUGGGGAUCGAACAGGAUUAGAUACCCUGGUAGUCCACGCCGUAAACGAUGAGUGCUAAGUGUUAGGGGGUUUCCGCCCCUUAGUGCUGCAGCUAACGCAUUAAGCACUCCGCCUGGGGAGUACGACCGCAAGGUUGAAACUCAAAGGAAUUGACGGGGACCCGCACAAGCGGUGGAGCAUGUGGUUUAAUUCGAAGCAACGCGAAGAACCUUACCAAAUCUUGACAUCCUUUGACAACUCUAGAGAUAGAGCCUUCCCCUUCGGGGGACAAAGUGACAGGUGGUGCAUGGUUGUCGUCAGCUCGUGUCGUGAGAUGUUGGGUUAAGUCCCGCAACGAGCGCAACCCUUAAGCUUAGUUGCCAUCAUUAAGUUGGGCACUCUAAGUUGACUGCCGGUGACAAACCGGAGGAAGGUGGGGAUGACGUCAAAUCAUCAUGCCCCUUAUGAUUUGGGCUACACACGUGCUACAAUGGACAAUACAAAGGGCAGCGAAACCGCGAGGUCAAGCAAAUCCCAUAAAGUUGUUCUCAGUUCGGAUUGUAGUCUGCAACUCGACUACAUGAAGCUGGAAUCGCUAGUAAUCGUAGAUCAGCAUGCUACGGUGAAUACGUUCCCGGGUCU
rnacentral:rRNA from 1 species